ACAUGUCUGUUUGAAGAUAUAAAAAGUCUAGCCUGCCCACUGAUAUUUUUAAGGGCCGCGGUAAUUUGACCGUGCAAAGGUAGCAUAAUCGUUAGUUUUUUAAUUGGAAUCUUGUAUGAAUGGUUGAACAAAAGGAUGACUGUCUCUAUAUUUAUUUGAAUUUAACUUUUAAGUGAAAAGGCUUAAAUACAUUAAAAAGACGAUAAGACCCUGUAAAGCUUGAUAAAUUUUAUUAUUUAACUGAAUUUGUUUAUAAGGGUUUAAUGAGAGAGUUUAUUUUAUUGGGGCGAUAAUGAUAAAAUGGUUUAACUGUUAAUAAAAAGACAAGGCUAGGUGUAUAAUUAAUAAAUGAUCCUUAAUUAAGAUUAAAAGUUUAAGUUACUUUAGGGAUAACAGCGUUAUUUUUCUUGAGAGUUCAUAUCGAAAGAAAAGUUUGCGACCUCGAUGUUGAAUUAAAAUUUCUAUAUAAUUGCAGAAGUUAUAUUAGAGGGUCUGUUCGACCUUUAAAUUUUUACGUGAUC
rnacentral:rRNA from 1 species